GCCCGGAUGGCGGAACUGGUAGACGCGCAUGGUUCAGGUCCAUGUCUCCACUAGGAGGUGCAGGUUCAAUUCCUGUUCCGGGCA
rnacentral:tRNA from 1 species